AUGGCCAGCCACGGCGACCUCUCCCCGCCGGCCGACGGAGGCUCCCAGGAGCUGAUUCCAGUCAUUUACCAGUCGCCAUACAGCAUGACACCGCAGGGUCCUCCAUGUUCAUGGCUUUUUUACUACAGGCCAGUUCCUCUCGGAGGUUUUCGGAGGCCCGUGUACGAAGAUGGGACGACAAGGGUGCUAUGCUUGAGCCAAAUGUUUUCCCCAGACCAGCUAGAAGACGACGAGUACUACCGAAAGCUUUGCCGGAGGAUGACGGCAGAAGGACAGAGAUCCGGCGGUAAACUCAGGAGGACCGUCGUCCCACGGCCAGACCCCAGCGGCCCUCCGGUCGCCGGAGUUGGCAAGGUGUUUCUGGCAUAUGCCGAUAUCGAUAUCGCAGCAUAUUCCAAGACGAUGUUGCAUUGGAUGUGGUUUGAGGGGAGGCAGGUGUUUGCUGUGUUCUAUCCUGAGGACAAGUUUGCUGCUGGAGAUUAUGAUGGAUAA
rnacentral:rRNA from 1 species